rnacentral:rRNA from 1 species
UACGAAGGGUGCAAGCGUUAAUCGGAAUUACUGGGCGUAAAGCGUGCGUAGGCGGUUUGUUAAGUCUGAUGUGAAAGCCCUGGGCUCAACCUGGGAAUGGCAUUGGAAACUGGCGAGCUAGAGUACGGUAGAGGGGUGGGGAAUUCCCGGUGUAGCGGUGAAAUGCGUAGAGAUCGGGAGGAACAUCUGUGGCGAAGGCGCCACCCUGGACCAGUACUGACGCUGAGGCACGAAAGCGUGGGGAGCAAACAGG